rnacentral:rRNA from 1 species
GGGGAAUUUUCCGCAAUGGGCGCAAGCCUGACGGAGCAACGCCGCGUGAGGGAUGAAGGCCUCUGGGCUGUAAACCUCUUUUCUCAAGGAAGAAGAUCUGACGGUACUUGAGGAAUAAGCCACGGCUAAUUNNNNNNNAGCAGCCGCGGUAAUACGGGAGUGGCAAGCGUUAUCCGGAAUUAUUGGGCGUAAAGCGUCCGCAGGCGGCCUUGAAAGUCUGUUGUUAAAGCGUGGAGCUUCACUCCAUUUCAGCAAUGGAAACUACAAGGCUAGAGUGUGGUAGGAGCAGAGGGGAUUCCCGGUGUAGCGGUGAAAUGCGUAGAUAUCGGGAAGAACACCAGUGGCGAAGGCGCUCUGCUGGGCCAUAACUGACGCUCAUGGACGAAAGCCAGGGGAGCGAAAGGGAUUAGAUACCCCUGUAGUC